rnacentral:rRNA from 1 species
AGUGAACGCUGGCGGUAGGCCUAACACAUGCAAGUCGAACGGCAGCACAGUAAGAGCUUGCUCUUACGGGUGGCGAGUGGCGGACGGGUGAGGGAUACAUCGGAAUCUACUUUUUCGUGGGGGAUAACGUAGGGAAACUUACGCUAAUACCGCAUACGACCUACGGGUGAAAGCAGGGGAUCUUCGGACCUUGCGCGAUUGAAUGAGCCGAUGUCGGAUUAGCUAGUUGGCGGGGUAAAGGCCCACCAAGGCGACGAUCCGUAGCUGGUCUGAGAGGAUGAUCAGCCACACUGGAACUGAGACACGGUCCAGACUCCUACGGGAGGCAGCAGUGGGGAAUAUUGGACAAUGGGCGGAAGCCUGAUCCAGCCAUACCGCGUGGGUGAAGAAGGCCUUCGGGUUGUAAAGCCCUUUUGUUGGGAAAGAAAAGCAGCAGGUUAAUACCCCGCUGUUCUGACGGUACCCAAAGAAUAAGCACCGGCUAACUUCGUG